UGCGAUCCUGAAGACGAGGAUCGAGACAAGACUCAAGCCUUAAAAUAUAAACUCGCCGCAAUCGCUUCGAUACUCGUGGCCGGAGCCAUUGGAGUUUACCUUCCGGUCCUCGGAAAAACUAUCCCGGCACUAAGUCCGGAGAGAAAGAUUUUCUUCCUAAUCAAGGCCUUUGCCGCCGGAGUUAUAUUAUCAACUGGGUUCGUCCACGUGCUUCCCGACGCCUUCGAGAACUUAACGUCGCCCUGCCUCGAUGAACACCCAUGGGGGGAUUUUCCGUUCACCGGAUUUGCUGCCAUGGUUGCUGCUAUCGGGACUCUGAUGAUUGAUGCUUUUGCAACUUCUUAUGCGACUUCUUAUUAUCGCAAGUCUCACUUUGGUGAAGCGGAGGAUAACGUAUCAGAUGAAGAGAAAGUUGGGGAGCAUGCAGGUCACGUGCAUGUUCAUACUCAUGCAACUCAUGGCCAUGCUCAUGGAUCUAUUGAAUAUGCUGGUGAAUCGGAGCUUCUACGACACCGUGUCAUAUCUCUGGUUAUAAUUUAUUUAUUUAUUUUUUAAAUUUUCAUGCAUAUAUAAAACGCUGGUGAAUUUUUAAUUAUAUUGGUAAAUUAAUUAAUCUAUUUUUUUUUAAGUUUCAUUUUGGGUUAUUUUUUUCGUUAGGUUUUGGAGUUGGGAAUUCUUGUGCACUCGGUAAUCAUUGGAAUUUCAUUGGGUACUUCUGAGAGUCCAAAAACUAUUAAGCCUUUGGUUGCAGCGUUGACUUUUCAUCAAUUCUUUGAAGGAAUGGGUCUUGGUGGUUGCAUUACGCAGGUAAUUGAUAUUUUCUAUUUAUGAUUCCAUUUUUUUAAUUAUUAUUUUUACUUUGUAAGUUUUAAUUAAGAUGCUUGAUACAUGGUGCUAACUAGCCAUAAGAAUCAAUUAUCAAAGCACUUUUAUUUUGGAAAACUCUUUUUUUUUUUUUUUUUUUGGUUAGAAAAAGGAAAAAACUUAUUUGAAGUUUUAAAAUUCUCUGUUUUUUUUUUUACGCUGUUGACUAUAUGUGUGUACACAUAUGUAAUACUAAAGUCUUUUUGUGACAAUAUCCACCUAUGUACGUACAAUCAAGUGGACAAUAUGGCUCCAAAUUUCAUUAGUAAUUGAUGUUAACAAUUUUGUUUUAACGUGUUCGUUUUUAUAGGCAAAAUUCAAGUCUCGAGGAGUCGCAAUAUUGGCCUUUUUCUUCUCUUUGACAACCCCAGCCGGGAUAGCAAUAGGCAUUGGAAUAUCAAGUUUUUAUGACGAAAAUGACCCCACUGCUCUUAUUGUUGAAGGGAUAUUCAAUGCAGCAGCAGCUGGAAUCCUAAUAUACAUGUCCUUGGUGGAUCUUCUUGCUGCAGAUUUUAUGAAUCCGAAGAUGCAAGACAAUAAAAGGCUUCAAUUUGGAGCACAUGUUUCUCUUCUUUUAGGAGCUGGUUGCAUGUCCUUGUUAGCCAAAUGGGCUUAAAAAUCAUAGAUAUUUUUUCUGCAAUUUUUGUUUAUCCAAUAGUUUAAUUUGCGGCAGUUUUUGUACAGACAUUUUGAUGGAUGUUUACUAUCUGUAAAAUAACUUAAAUUGAUUAGGGUUAAGUGUAGCGUUUUAAAAUUUAAAGAGGGUAAGUGUCAUAACUCAUUUGAUUUUGGGUGUGAAUCUUUGUAACUUAUAUUUGAAGGGAUCUGUAAUUUUUCCUUGUACAUAUUUUAUUUUAUUUUUGACUAAAGAUCAUUACUCGACGGUGAGCUUUAAAUAAUAAAUUCUACAAAGCCCCUGCCAAAAAGGGGGUAAAAAACAAAAGGAAAGAAAAGAAAAGCUAUGAACUAAUUUGAAAAGAAGAUGAUAAAGAUCAUGGUGAUGAUAUUGACUCAAUUGAGGAAGAAAACUCAAACUCGUAGUGUUUAUCGAUGGCCAUUGAUACAUCAAUAUUACACAUCAAUGUAUGUAUAUACAUACGCACAUCAAUAUUGCUAUGUUUGCAAGUUUAUAAUAAAAAAUAAUUUUGGUAUUCGACCCAAUGUGUUCUUAUAAGAAAAUGACACAUGUCAAAUGAUUACUUAUAUUUUCACUUUCACUUGGUGGUUUGUAUGAACACUUUGUAUAUGCUGUUUUAAUAUCAAAUAUUUCAUAUUAGUUGGGUAUAACCGUAUAAAUUUUAUAUUUUAACUAUACAUAAUUAUAGACUUGAGUGGAAAAUAUAGAUUUAGUUGGUCUUUUAGUGAAAAUAAGGGUAUUACAAACAUUGUCCUUCAUAUGGCAAGCUAGAACAAUAUAUGAAUGGGUCGACGAGGUUAAGUCAAGAGAAACCUAAAAACGCAAGCUGGUUGAAGCCAGCCACUUGCUACUUGCUACUGCCAAAAGAGAGGGAAAACGACAUCGUAAUCCACUAGGUACGGACUACUAAUUAAUUAGCUCAGUUGUCUCCUUUUACUUCCAAAAACGUCCAAACUCAUCUUGUAAAACUUUCAAUAUUCUGAAUUUUGAUUCCUUAAUUUUACUUAAGAAUUUGGUCUUUAUCUAAGUUUUAAAUAAAGUGUUUUAAUAAGUUAUAAAAAAUAAGGGUAAAAGCUCGUUUAAUCCCUAUAUUUUGAAGUUAGUGCCCGUUUAGUCCCUAUAUUUUUAAAAAUACCUCAAACCAUCCCUACCAUUAAAUUAUUGACACUUUUGCCAUUAUCUUUUGUUCCUUUUAACUUAUUUUUAUAAUAUUACCCUAUUAUAAUAAUUUUUUAGACAUUAUUAAAAAGAAAAAAAUAACCCUUUUUUGUUUUUAUUUUAUUUUUGAGUUUAAUUUGAUAAUUUAAUUUUUUAUUAAUAUCCAAAAAAGAAACAUUAUUGUAAAAAUGUAAUAUUGUAAAAGCAAGUUAAAAAUAAUAAAAAAUAAUGGCAUAAGUGUCAAUAUUUAGUAGCAGGGAUGUUUUGAGGUGUUUUUAAAAAUACAGGGACUAAAUGAACACUAACCUCAUAAUAUAGGGACUAAACAAGCUUUUACCCAAAAAAUAAUUAUCAUUUCUCAUAAUUUCAGGGGCAUUCCGAGAAUCGAACUCGGGACCUCUCGCACCCAAAGCGAGAAUCAUACCACUAGACCAAAUGCCCAGCGACAAAGUGAAACUUCCUUACAAAAUAUUAAUCUUAUUUCUAAAUUGAAGUCAUUACACACGCCUUCAUACUUCUUCGUUUCCAUUAAUAAGAAUUUGACUGAGAGAAUGGUGGCAAUUUGAUUCCAUGCAAACAGUCUGAUGGAUGAUCACGACAAAGGUGAAAUUGUUUCUGAGUAAAACUUGGAACAAAACUUGACACGUACAUGAACACAGAGAGUCAAAUUAACAAGCUAGCCAACAUCCAAAAUGGCCUACAAAUUCAUAACAAAACGACAUGGGGAUUUGCCACUUGCCAGAUUCCAAUCUCUAGACAAUGCACACAUCUUUUGGUUGAAACUCGAGCUCUGUUAAAAUAUCUUUUUGUUAAAUAUCUCAAGCUCUGCCAAGGGAGUUGACGUUCAAUCGUUAUCUAAUUCCUAUAUACGUUUCACGUCUCAGGAGCUGAACUAAAGGAUUCAAGUAUAAGAAUAGUAUGUAAUUAUUAAGAUCGUUAACACGUACAAACAUUGCCGAUACUACGAUCAUCAAAUCUGAUUUCAUACUUAACAAAUUAAUUAUUUAUUUAACAAAUUAAUUAGUACCCUAAUUAAUAACUUGAUCAGUGCGGAUAUGAUUUAUGAAACCACGGGGCAACAAAUUGACUACAAGGUAAUAACAUUAAAUGUUGGACUAGUAGCCUGUUACCAUUCAUUCAUUUUUUAUUUUUUUUAACAUUCAUAUAUAAUAUUUAAUAUGAUAUUAAUACAACAUGAUCCCAUGUUACAAGUUAAUUUCAGCAUCAUUGUUAUAGUUUUCAUGUUCGACCUUACAAGCAAACUCCUGAGUCUAUUCAUAUGAGGUGCAAGUGCAAGUAUGCAACUGGCAGAGCUUGAAAAACUUUUUGAGGUUCAUGGUCCUAUGAUAAAGUUAUCAAAAGUAAUUGACAUUAUGCUCUUUAUUUAAUUCUUCUAUAAACUUAUGUCAAAUAAUAGAACCUUAGGAGGGACCCAAUUGGCCAAAUCCCAUCACAGUCUCACAACUGGUCCUGAAGCUUUCUUUUACAUGAACUGCUUAGAAGCAUUUCAGAAUUUUCCUUACCUUUUCUCCUGAAUGAUUUAAGGAAUAAUUGAAAUUAAAAUUGAAUAAUUUUCGUUGCCUUUUUAUCCCAAAAUGGUAUAUUUUCUUGAAUCCAAAACCAGUUUGAAUAUUGAUAUUUGAUGCAGCCCCUUGUAACUACAAAAUAAGAUUUUAGGGUAAAAAACUUUUAAUUAGUUAGGCUAGGGUUUUAUUUUUGACAUAUAUUUUAUUGUUUAAAAGGGAAAACAAAGAAUUAAAUAUAACGUCAUGUUACCCACGAUUUGAUACAAGGAUGAUGAUCCUCUUCUGAUUUGAGCACACCUGAUCUUUUACAGAUCUUGUGUCAUUUGUAUUUUAAUGUUAGUGUAUAAUUAUAAUUUAACUACUUUUUCUUUUUAAUUUAUUAACCACCAAUCAUGUUAAUAAAAUUUACUCAUAAAAAGAUCAGAUCAUGAGAAAAUCUCAAUCCUUGAUACAACUCUCCUUUUUUUUUUUUAAUAUACUUCACACUUUGUAUAAAAAAAUGACCCUUUUUCAUUUUAUUAUUUUAAAAUUGCAUUGACUAAACUGUAAAUAUUGAAUUUUAGAUUUGGUUAGCCAACCAAGAAGAUCGAAAAUCCAGCUAAUACUGUUAUCCGGCUGGCUUGUCAAAGAAAAAAAAAUUAAAUGAGUCAAUUAUUAUUUCAACAUAAUAUCGACAUUGCAAGCUUGACUUCACCAAUUUUAGCCUACAGUUGUAGUGAGAAUGCUUUGAAAUUCCUUUCUGGCUGCUCAGUAUGUCGACAUAUUAUCAACACUUUGCUAUUUUUCAAUCCCUGAGAUUCCCAUCCAAAUUUUCAACUAGCCAGUCCCUAAUUGCAGGCCACUUUUUAAUUCUGUGGUCAAAUUAAUUAUUUCGUCUAAUAAUUACCAUAAUUUUACAAAACAAGAAACAACCCAUGUACAGAAGUUUGAUUCUACUCGUAACUUGAUUCUUACGGAAUCGUGUCCUCAUUAUUUCUUCAAAGCUACUUUUGAGAUGAUCAUCGAACGCUAAAGCGAAUUAAACCUUAAUUGGUACUUAGCGUUUUAAUCCAAUCUCUUCUGUUUGUUCUAUUAAUUUCUUUUAUUUUGUUUUCUUAUUCUCUUUCAGUUUCACUCGAUGGGGUCGGUGCAUGGGUCACAAUGAUUUUAUGAUGCUCUAGAGAUCAACAAUCACGCGCUUUCACAUAAACUCUACGCUAUAAACAAUUUCCUCUCAAAUAUUUUCAUCAUACAAAAAUAAAAAUCGUGAUAUUGUUUUCAGAUUUCAGAUUCUUUAUCAUGAUCACUUCUCAUCGUCUUUUCAUCACUUUCUUUUGCAUUCUUCUAAUACUACUUCCCAACGUAGUACGAGGAGAAUGCACGUGCGAUCCUGAAGACGAGGAUCGAGACAAGACUCAAGCCUUAAAAUAUAAACUCGCCGCAAUCGCUUCGAUACUCGUGGCCGGAGCCAUCGGAGUUUUACUUCCCGUCCUCGGAAAAACUAUCCGGGCACUAAGUCCGGAGAGAAAUAUUUUCUUCCUAAUCAAGGCCUUUGCCGCCGGAGUUAUAUUAUCGACGGGGUUCAUCCACGUGCUUCCCGACGCCUUCGAGAACUUAACGUCGCCCUGCCUCGAUGAACAUCCAUGGGGGGAUUUUCCGUUCACCGGAUUCGCUGCCAUGGUUGCUGCUAUCGGGACUCUGAUGAUUGAUGCUUUUGCAACUUCUUAUGCGACUUCUUAUUAUCGCAAGUCUCACUUUGGUGAAGCGGAGAAUAACGCACCAGAUGAAGAGAAAGUUGGGGAGCAUGCAGGUCACGUGCAUGUUCAUACCCAUGCAACUGAUGGGCAUGCUCAUGGAUUUCUUGAAUAUUCCGGUGAAUCGGAGCUUCUACGACACCGUGUCAUAUCUCUGGUACAACUUAUUUAUUUAUUUUAAAUUUUCACGCAUAUCUAAAGGCGAUGGUGAUUUUUUUUUUUUUGUUUUUAUUUUUGAAGUUUCAUUAUGGUUAUUUUUUCCAUUAGGUUUUGGAGUUGGGAAUUCUUGUGCACUCGGUAAUAAUUGGAAUUUCAUUGGGAGCUUCUGAGAGUCCAAAAACCAUUAAGC
rnacentral:lncRNA from 1 species